AGCGAACGCUGGCGGCAGGCCUAACACAUGCAAGUCGAACGAACCUUUCGGGGUUAGUGGCGGACGGGUGAGUAACACGUGGGAACGUGCCUUUAGGUUCGGAAUAACUCAGGGAAACUUGUGCUAAUACCGAAUGUGCCCUUCGGGGGAAAGAUUAAUCGCCUUUAGAGCGGCCCGCGUCUGAUUAGCUAGUUGGUUGAGGUAAUGGCUCACCAAGGCGACGAUCAGUAGCUGGUCUGAGAGGAUGAUCAGCCACAUUGGGACUGAGACACGGCCCAAACUCCUACGGGAGGCAGCAGUGGGGAAUCUUGCGCAGUGGGCGAAAGCCUGACGCAGCCAUGCCGCGUGAAUGAUGAAGGUCUUAGGAUUGUAAAAUUCUUUCACCGGUGACGAUAAUGACGGUACCCGGAGAAGAAGCCCCGGCUAACUUCGUG
rnacentral:rRNA from 1 species